AAUGGUUAUUUGUCAUAAAUAGAAGCUGAGCCUGGCUGGUCCCGAGCCAAACACUGGAAGUUUGUCCUGGCAGACGAGGUGUGACAUCACAAACAGGAUGAUGUCAUGGUGGAAGCUGCCAGCCUGCAAGUCUGAGACAGCAUCCUGGAGCCCUGGGAAGCAGGGGACAACUGUCCCUGUCCCCAAAAAUGACCCAGAGCGUUGCCAUGAGAGGUGGUGGGAGCAGAGAGGGACGCAAAGAGCAGGUGGAAUCCUGGAAGAGCUCAGCUCCAGGAGUUACUGCCCUGCCAGAAUCAAUGGGGGAGAGGUUCGAGCUGCUGAUGUGAGAUGCAUAUUUCGGGAAGUCCUGUGGAUCAGCCCAGGAAAAGAGAGGGAUCCGUGCUGGAAAUGCCUCCAGGACAGGCUGGACUUCAGGGGAAAGCCCAAAUGACCACAGGACGGGUUUCAGGAGGGAAAGAAAAAAGCAAAAUUGCUGCUAAUACCAAUGCAUAAAUAACAACCAUGGUUCAGGUUUCAAGGGUGUCAGAACAAACCAGGCCCAUCAGCCCUGCAGGAGCUGGCAAAGUUCCACCAGGGAGUGCAGCACAGUGGGACCCUCUUCUCCCUCCCUCAUGUUUGACUGGAAUGAGCACUAAACCCCACCAGGAUGGUUUUAAUCCUUGAUCAAUAUCUCUGCAGAUUUUGGGGUGCCUCAGCCCC
rnacentral:lncRNA from 12 species